AUGCCUCCUCACCGGCCAGUUGAAUUCGUCAUCGAUCUUGAGCCUGGCACGGAACCUGUUUGUAAACGUCCUUACAAGCUUGGACCAAAAGAGUUGAAGGAGUUGAAGAAACAACUCGAUGAACAAGAACGUAUGGGUCUGAUCCGACCAAGUUCUUCUCCAUGGGGUUGUGGUGUUCUUUUUGUCAAGAAGAAGGAUGGCACGGACCGACUUUGUGUCGACUACCGUCCAUUGAACAAGAAGACCAUAAAGAACAAGUACCCACUUCCCAACAUCAAUGAGCUUUUCGAACAACUAAAAGGUGCUCAAGUAUUCUCCAAGCUUGACCUCCGUAUGGGCUAUCAUCAGAUUCGCAUUCAUGAAGAAGACAUCCCCAAGACAACAUUCAGAACAAGCUAUGGUUCAUAUGAAUACAUUGUC
rnacentral:rRNA from 1 species